rnacentral:tRNA from 2 species
GCCUUGGCUCAAUGGUAGAGCAACUGAUUUGUAAUCAGUAGGUUGCUGGUUCGAUCCCGGCAGGC